CGACCGGCGCACGGGUGAGUAACGCGUAUCCAACCUGCCUUACACUCUUGGACAGCCUUCUGAAAGGGAGAUUAAUACAAGAUGUUAUCAUGAGUAAGCAUUUUCACAUGAUUAAAGGUUUACCGGUGUAAGAUGGGGAUGCGUUCCAUUAGAUAGUAGGCGGGGUAACGGCCCACCUAGUCUACGAUGGAUAGGGGUUCUGAGAGGAAGGUCCCCCACAUUGGAACUGAGACACGGUCCAA
rnacentral:rRNA from 1 species